UAGGGAAUCUUCGGCAAUGGACGGAAGUCUGACCGAGCAACGCCGCGUGAGUGAAGAAGGUUUUCGGAUUGUAAAGCUCUGUUGUAAGAGAAGAACGAGUGUGAGAGUGGAAAGUUCACACUGUGACGGUAUCUUACCAGAAAGGGACGGCUAACUACGUGCCAGCAGCCGCGGUAAUACGUAGGUCCCGAGCGUUGUCCGGAUUUAUUGGGCGUAAAGCGAGCGCAGGCGGUUAGAUAAGUCUGAAGUUAAAGGCUGUGGCUUAACCAUAGUACGCUUUGGAAACUGUUUAACUUGAGUGCAAGAGGGGAGAGUGGAAUUCCAUGUGUAGCGGUGAAAUGCGUAGAUAUAUGGAGGAACACCGGUGGCGAAAGCGGCUCUCUGGCUCGUAACUGACGCUGAGGCUCGAAAGCGUGGGGAGCAAACAGGAUUAGAUACCCUGGUAGUCCACGCCGUAAACGAUGAGUGCUAGGUGUUAGACCCUUUCCGGGGUUUAGUGCCGUAGCUAACGCAUUAAGCACUCCGCCCGGGGAGUACGACCGCAAGGUUG
rnacentral:rRNA from 1 species